GUGCCAGCAGCCGCGGUAACACCAGCUGCACAAGUGUAUAUUAAAGUUGUUGCAGUUAAAAAGCUCGUAGUUGGAUAUCUGUCUUGACUGACCUAGCCCUAGGCCUUCGGGUUCUGGWGUGCUGGUUGUGGCGACCUCUGCUUCGGCGGUUGUGUUGCCCGUCAUGUCGGACAUACUUCAGGARAUCUAUCCUGCCAUUYAUUUGGUUGGGGUAASGAUCCUGAUCGUUUACUUCGAAAAAAUUAGAGUGUUUAACGCAGGCUUUUGUGUCGCGAAUAGAUUAGCAUGGAAUAAUAAGAUAGGACUUCGGCAUCGUUAGUGAGUGCCUUGGUGUGUGGCUUGCUCGUGMUCUUCGGAKUGCGUUGUUUGGUGCUGCCUUGGAUUAACRCUUGCCAGCCGUUCUAUUUUGUUGGUUUCUAGAGCUGAAGUAAUGAUUGAUAGGGAUAGUUGGGGGUGCUCGUAUUGCCGGGCCAGAGGUGAAAUUCUCGGAUUCUGGUAAGACGAACUUAUGCGAAAGCAUUCACCAAGGAUGUCUUCUUUAAUCAAGAACGAAAGUUGGGGGAUCGAAGACGAUCAGAUACCGUCGUAGUCUCAACCGUAAACUAUGCCAUCUAGGGAUUGGUCGACGUUGAAUUUAUAAGACUCGAUCAGCACC
rnacentral:rRNA from 1 species